rnacentral:rRNA from 1 species
AUGACCGGCGAACGGGUGCGUAACACGUGAACAACCUGCCCUCGUGUGGGGGAUAGCCAUGCUAACGCGUGGGUAAUACCGCAUACGGUCCUUUGGGGGAGUCCCUAGGGGAAGAAAGCUCCGGCGCACGGGAGGGGUUCGUGGCCUAUCAGCUAGUUGGGGGGUAAUGGCCCACCAAGGCGACGACGGGUAGCUGGUCUGAGAGGAUGGCCAGCCACAUUGGGACUGAGACCCGGCCCAG